rnacentral:tRNA from 1 species
GGUCCCCAGUUCAAGUCUGGGAGGGGCCACCAAAUUGACUCAUAAUCGAUUGGUCCCCAGUUCAAGUCUGGGAGGGGCCACCA